rnacentral:rRNA from 1 species
CAGUAGAACGCUGAAGAGAGGAGCUUGCUCUUCUUGGAUGAGUUGCGAACGGGUGAGUAACGCGUAGGUAACCUGCCUUGUAGCGGGGGAUAACUAUUGGAAACGAUAGCUAAUACCGCAUAACAAUGGAUGACACAUGUCAUUUAUUUGAAAGGGGCAAUUGCUCCACUACAAGAUGGACCUGCGUUGUAUUAGCUAGUAGGUGAGGUAAUGGCUCACCUAGGCGACGAUACAUAGCCGACCUGAGAGGGUGAUCGGCCACACUGGGACUGAGACACGGCCCAGACUCCUACGGGAGGCAGCAGUAGGGAAUCUUCGGCAAUGGGGGCAACCCUGACCGAGCAACGCCGCGUGAGUGAAGAAGGUUUUCGGAUCGUAAAGCUCUGUUGUAAGUCAAGAACGGGUGUGAGAGUGGAAAGUUCACACUGUGACGGUAGCUUACCAGAAAGGGACGGCUAACUACGUGCCAGCAGCCGCGGUAAUACGUAGGUCCCGAGCGUUGUCCGGAUUUAUUGGGCGUAAAGCGAGCGCAGGCGGUUUGAUAAGUCUGAAGUUAAAGGCUGUGGCUCAACCAUAGUUCGCUUUGGAAACUGUCAAACUUGAGUGCAGAAGGGGAGAGUGGAAUUCCAUGUGUAGCGGUGAAAUGCGUAGAUAUAUGGAGGAACACCGGUGGCGAAAGCGGCUCUCUGGUCUGUAACUGACGCUGAGGCUCGAAAGCGUGGGGAGCGAACAGGAUUAGAUACCCUGGUAGUCCACGCCGUAAACGAUGAGUGCUAGGUGUUGGAUCCUUUCCGGGAUUCAGUGCCGCAGCUAACGCAUUAAGCACUCCGCCUGGGGAGUACGACCGCAAGGUUGAAACUCAAAGGAAUUGACGGGGGCCCGCACAAGCGGUGGAGCAUGUGGUUUAAUUCGAAGCAACGCGAAGAACCUUACCAGGUCUUGACAUCCCGAUGCUAUUUCUAGAGAUAGAAAGUUACUUCGGUACAUCGGUGACAGGUGGUGCAUGGUUGUCGUCAGCUCGUGUCGUGAGAUGUUGGGUUAAGUCCCGCAACGAGCGCAACCCCUAUUGUUAGUUGCCAUCAUUCAGUUGGGCACUCUAGCGAGACUGCCGGUAAUAAACCGGAGGAAGGUGGGGAUGACGUCAAAUCAUCAUGCCCCUUAUGACCUGGGCUACACACGUGCUACAAUGGUUGGUACAACGAGUUGCGAGUCGGUGACGGCGAGCUAAUCUCUUAAAGCCAAUCUCAGUUCGGAUUGUAGGCUGCAACUCGCCUACAUGAAGUCGGAAUCGCUAGUAAUCGCGGAUCAGCACGCCGCGGUGAAUACGUUCCCGGGCCUUGUACACACCGCCCGUCACACCACGAGAGUUUGUAACACCCGAAGUCGGUGAGGUAACCUUUGGAGCCAGC